GUCCAUUUGUGGGCUGCCCCACACUUGUGGGGCUGGAGGGGGUCGGUCCUGCCGUGGGUCACACCGUGGUCCCGCUGUGGGUCGCUCCGUGGGGCUCCUGUGGGUCCCGCCGUGGGUCUGACCCACAUCUUCCUGUGGCUGCCGCUGUGGGUCAGUCCGUGUCCUACUUGUGGGUCAGACCCCCCACUUAUGGGUCAGACCCCCCACUUAUGGGUCAGUCCGUGUCCUACUUGUGGGUCAGACCCCCCACUUGUGGGUCAGUCCGGGUCCUACUUGUGGGUCAGACCCCCCACUUAUGGGUCAGUCCGUGUCCUACUUGUGGGUCAGACCCCCCACUUGUGGGUCAGUCCGCCUCCUACUUGUGGGUCAGAGCCCCACUCGUGGGUCACCCCCUGCCCCACUUGGGGGUCGGUGCUGCGCCGUGGCUCAAUCCGUGUCCUACUUGUGGGUCAGACCCCCCCCCACUUAUGGGUCAGACCCCCCCCACUUAUGGGUCACCCCCUGCCCCACUGCCAGCUCAGUCCGUUCUCCGCCCCGUCCCUCGCCGUCCCUCCGUGGGUCCGGGCCUCCGUGGGGCGGCGGCGCCGUGGGGCAGCGGUGGGGGGGUCACUGUGGGGCGCCGUGGGGCGGCGCCGUGGGGCAGAGCUCGAGGGAAAGGGCCUCGAAAGCCUCCAACAUGGCGGCGCGGACCCGCUCCGUCAGCGCCGGGACGUCCGUGGGGCCCAGCCCCCGCGUGGGGAGGGGGGGCAGCACCUGGAUGACGCACUCACCUGGGGGGCAGGAUGUGGGGCUGACCCAUAGCGACCCAUAGAUCCGCCCCAUAGCGACCCAUAGCUGCCCCAUAGCGACCCAUAGCGACCCAUAGAUCCAGCCCCUAAGGCUGCCCCAUAGCGCCCCUGCCCCCCAACCUCGUCGUCAGCAACAACCAGAGGUCCCCUGAACUCCUGGGUAGGGCUGCCCCAUAGAUCCGCCCCAUAGCGACCCA
rnacentral:lncRNA from 1 species